GCGUGACACUGGCGUAUUCCACAGCGGAUGGUGUGAACGUGUGUCACCGGAGGCAUACUGGGCGACGGCAAAACAAACCGUGGUGUCCAGAGACGAGGUCUCACUAUAUUGCCCAGGCUGGUCUUGAACUCCUGGCCUUAAGCGAUCCUCCUGCCUUGGCCUCCCAAAGUGCUGGAGUUACAGAUGUGAGCCUCUGUGCUCAGCCCAUCCUUGUCUGUUCAAGUGCAGAGCCAAGAAUAUUAAGGAACGUGGACACAAAGGAUGAGUUUGGAACAGAAGUUUAAUAAGCAAAAGAAGAAAGCUCUCCCCAGCAGAGAGGGGACCCGAAAGAGGGUUGCCAACUAGGAGGCUGAAUCUGGGGGUUUUGUGAACUGGGAAGAGGAAGAAUGUGCUCACUGGUCUGUGAGCUGUCUUGGAGAUAGCACUACUUCGCUUGGCCCGGGACCUUAGCCUGGGACCAAUCAGAGGCUGAAGUGAAAUUUUGGCCCAAGACCAAUCAGGGGCUGAAGUGAAAGUUUGGCCCAGGACCAAUCAGAGGCUGAAGUGAUGAUUCAUAGAGGCUCGGCUCACAGUCCAAAGCAUGUCCAGAAAAUAAAGUGGCCGCCGGAGCCUGUUAGUCCAAGCUGCACCGAUUUGUAAGCCCCCACCAUUUCACAGACCCUGUUCAGAGGGAAACAUUCCACUGGGGUUUGGGCUGCGAGAAACAUCCUCCCCAACCGCCUGACUUCCUUAUCACAUCCUGCUGGGGAAAGGCCCAAGAAACAUCCCAGGCAACAAGCUAUACUGCCCAGACCCCUCCUGCCCAGGCCUAUAAUUACUCCAGCUUGUAAGCGGCAGUGGGCUCUGGCAUUUAGUUGGUCCCCUCCAUAGAGCCGCCAACUCUCUCUCUUUCUUUAACCUUCGCCUUCCCUUCAAAAUCUAACAGAGCCCACAGUAUACAUGCCCACAAAAAAGCGACUAUUUCCUGGAAGCCCGCUGGUCACACAAAGGACAAAGGCAUUUCUAUGUUGGACCUCGGUCCCUUAUCAAUGCAGCUGAGGAAUGUCUUUAGGACAACCCCCUUUGCUAGUUUUCCUUCUCUGUGCCUGCAGCCUGAUUUUUCUGGCUGUUUCUCUGUUUAAAGGAGUUUUACCAAGGAACCGCUCUAACUCCCUAAAGGUUUUUUUCUCUCAAGGGGACACACAAAGUUCCAAUCACACACAUGCCUCCCUACAUCCACUUACCCUCUGCCUCACAGCCAGUCACACUCUCCUCUCUCACACAGACCACGGGGCCACACAAGUUGCACCUGCACAGCCACAGACCUGCAACUCACGCACACACAGUACUGCACACACACGCAAAGUCACACAUCCACCCUGGGACACGCAGCCCCAACCACACAGUCACCGGUUGUCCACAUCCGCACACACAACGCGGCUCGUCCAGGACACACACAUCCACUCCGAGCGCGCACAGUCACAAGCGCCCACUUGAUCACCCAGAGUCAGCACCACGCAGCCACAGUCACAGACCACGAAGACCCACGGCAACCAUGGCAAUCACACACGCAAACUCCUCUCCUCAGCCCUCCACACACAAAAGGACCGGAGCCGGAUUCCUCACCCUCAG